rnacentral:rRNA from 1 species
AGAAUCAACGCUGGCGGCGUGCCUAACACAUGCAAGUCGCACGAGAAAGCGGGAGCAAUCCUGUGAGUAAAGUGGCGUACGGGUGAGUAACACGUGAAUCAUCUACCUUCGAGUGCGGAAUAACUGAGAGAAAUCUUAGCUAAUACCGCAUAAUACCCACGGGUCAAAGCAGCAAUGCGCUUGAAGAGGAGUUCGCGGCAGAUUAGUUAGUUGGCGGGGUAAUGGCCCACCAAGACGAUGAUCUGUAUCCGGCCUGAGAGGGCGCACGGACACACUGGAACUGAAACACGGUCCAGACUCCUACGGGAGGCAGCAGUGGGGAAUUUUGCGCAAUGGGGGAAACCCUGACGCAGCAACGCCGCGUGGAGGAUGAAAUCCCUUGGGAUGUAAACUCCUUUCGAUAGGGAAGAUAAUGACGGUACCUGUAGAAGAAGCCCCGGCUAACUUCGUGCCAGCAGCCGCGGUAA